GAUCCCUUCCAACCCAACCCAUUCCAUGAUCUGGUGAUCCCACAGCUGCUGCAGUCAUUCAGGAGCUGUGCAAGGAGCUGAGCUGUUCCCUAAAGCUGGAAAAGCUGUCACUGUCAGGAUUCUGUUCUCUGCAAACCCCUCACCCCCAGCUCAGGAGAUCCCAUCCCAUCCCCGCUCCAUCCUGCCUCAGCACAGCCCUCUGGAGCCACCCUGUCUGUGUGACAGCUUCCAAAAAUCCCUGCUUUCCAUCCAAAGCUGCCUGUGUAAUUAGCCCUUAGGUCUCAAUUAAGCCCUUGCCUGGGUCCCACCCUGUUUCUCCUGUCGCUCCUCCCCUUCCGAUGCAGUCUGGCUGUUUUCCUGGCAGGGAUGCUGCCACAGCUCGGAUCUCUGGAGCUGAGGCUCUGGGGAGUGCUGGAAUCUGGGUCUUGGGUACAAGCACCCAGACACCAGAUGGGCUGGGAGCAGCUGACGUGGCGCAGGGGCUUUGUCUUCCUUCCUUCUUGCUUUUCCCAAGGAUGCAGUGCUGGAGCAGCCCCUCUCACACAGCCCUGUGCCUGGAAAGGAAAAGGAAGGAGAAGAGGAAGCAAAACUGCGACAGGAGGGAAUCAGACCAUGGACAUGUUGGAAGCUGGAAUAUACAUCCUGCAUUACAAAGUGCAAAAUACUACAUGCUCAGAGCCCAAGCAUGAUGUCUGAAACAGUCCACAGCAAGAUGUAAGAGACAAACCCACCACCCUCUCCCUCCUCUCU